rnacentral:rRNA from 1 species
GGGUCAUCCCGACUUACCAACCCGAUGCAAACUCCGAAUACCAGUGAGUACUAUCCGGGAGACACACGGCGGGUGCUAACGUCCGUCGUCGAGAGGGAAACAACCCAGACCGCCAGCUAAGGUCCCCAAAUCACAGCUAAGUGGGAAACGAUGUGGGAAGGCUAAGACAGCCAGGAGGUUGGCUUAGAAGCAGCCAUCCUUUAAAGAAAGCGUAAUAGCUCACUGGUCGAGUCGGCCUGCGCGGAAGAUGUAACGGGGCUAAGCUGUGUACCGAAGCUGCGGAUGCCGCAAGGCAUGGUAGGGGAGCGUUCUGUACGCCUGCGAAGGUGUGCCGAGAGGCAUGCUGGAGGUAUCAGAAGUGCGAAUGCUGACAUGAGUAACGAUAAGGGGAGUGAAAAUCUCCCCCGCCGGAAGACCAAGGGUUCCUGCGCAACGCUCAUCGGCGCAGGGUAAGUCGGCCCCUAAGGCGAGGCGGAAACGCGUAGUCGAUGGGAAACGGGUCAAUAUUCCCGUACCACGCAUGACUGCGAUGGGGUGACGGAGAAGGCUAGGCCAUCCGGGCGUUGGUAGUCCCGGUUCAAGCGAGUAGGUGGUUCUUCCAGGCAAAUCCGGAGGAGCAACGCCGAGACGUGAUGACGGUAGGUCCAAGGACCUCGAAGUGGUCGAUGCCAAGCUUCCAGGAAAAGCCUCUAAGCAUCAGGUCAUGGGUGACCGUACCCCAAACCGACACAGGUGGUCAGGUAGAGAAUACCAAGGCGCUUGAGAGAACUCGGGUGAAGGAACUAGGCAAAAUGGCACCGUAACUUCGGGAGAAGGUGCGCCGGUGAGG